CACACGGCAAAAAUAAACACCCAUGGAGGAGUUAAUUAGGCGGUCAGCGGCCACACCAGCGUCCUACCAGGGCUGCCCGCAGACCUUUUAAACAAGCACUCACACACACACACACAAAAGGAGGCGCUCAUUAAAUGUCACAAGCUGGGCAUCUGGAGUCCGACCCCAAAGGUAUAAAGAGUUUUGUGUGAAUUGGUGCUCCAAGCAAACAACAUCUAUCUACAAAUUGAGGUGGGCCCCUAGUUCAUUAUAAUUGCUGUACUUGUAAGAAGACCACCACAUGAAGACACAGAGACACAGGAGGAAGUCCAUGUGAAGAUGGAGACAAAGAUUGGUGUGAUGUAGCUACAAGCCAAGGAAUGCCCAGAACUGCCAGCUGUUACCGGAAGCUAGAAGAGAGGCGUGGAAUAGAUUCUCCCUCCUCAUCCUCAGAAGGACCCAACCUGGCCCACAACUUGAUUUCUUACUUCUAAACUCCAGUACUGUGAGAGAAUAAAUUUCUGUUGU